CCUACGGGAGGCAGCAGUGGGGAAUAUUGCACAAUGGGCGAAAGCCUGAUGCAGCAACGCCGCGUGAAGGAUGAAGGGUUUCGGCUCGUAAACUUCUAUCAUUAGGGAAGAAAGAAAUGACGGUACCUAAAUAAGAAGCCCCGGCUAACUACGUGCCAGCAGCCGCGGUAAUACGUAGGGGGCAAGCGUUAUCCGGAAUUACUGGGUGUAAAGGGAGAGUAGGCGGCAUGGUAAGUUAGAUGUGAAAGCCUAGGGCUUAACCCUAGGAUUGCAUUUAAAACUAUCAAGCUAGAGUACAGGAGAGGAAAGCGGAAUUCCUAGUGUAGCGGUGAAAUGCGUAGAUAUUAGGAAGAACACCAGUGGCGAAGGCGGCUUUCUGGACUGAAACUGACGCUGAGGCUCGAAAGCGUGGGGAGCGAACAGGAUUAGAUACCCCAGU
rnacentral:rRNA from 1 species